CAGUAUGGUCCUGGAUGUCAGGGAAACUGUAGUGUACGAUGUAAUGGUAAGAAAUGUCUGGAUCCAGUUACUGGAGAAUGUCCAGAGCCCGAAACAUCACAUCUGAGGAUGCUCCUGAUAUUAUUGCCGAUUCUACCAGGCUGUGUAAUUCUCUAUCUAUUUAUCAUGAGACAAAAGAACGCUAACCAAGAAGAUGACAGAUCAGGGUUCUCCAUUAAUUUAUCCAAAUCAAAGUCACAAAAUACUCUAGAAACAAAAGGCUCGUCGCCUUCCGUAAGGUCUGUCAAGUCUGCUUGGUCAGUCAAGUCAAAUAGGUCUAGCAGAAGUGUGCCAGAAAACCCUGAAACUGUAGUUUGAAUGCCGCUUUGGCCAAUAAAUCAAAUCUUGUUUGCAUUUGACGGAAGCCUUAUUGACAAGCAGGGAACUUCAGCUCAAACGUUUAAGAAGUGAAUAAUCAAUCUAUCACAGCGGUUCUCAACCUUUUCAGCUCGGCGACCCCUUUUUUACAACCCCCCACUCUGCCGCGACCC
rnacentral:sRNA from 1 species